rnacentral:tRNA from 1 species
GUCAGGAUGGCCGAGCGGUCUAAGGCGCCAGACUCAAGGUUCCCUUGCUCGCUGAACGCGAGUUCGAGUUAUUCUGGUCCUCUCUGAGGGCGUGGGUUCGAAUCCCACUUCUGACA